rnacentral:rRNA from 1 species
CAGGCUUAACACAUGCAAGUCGAGGGGCAGCAUGGUCUUAGCUUGCUAAGGCCGAUGGCGACCGGCGCACGGGUGAGUAACACGUAUCCAACCUGCCGUCUACUCUUGGACAGCCUUCUGAAAGGAAGAUUAAUACAAGAUGGCAUCAUGAGUCCGCAUGUUCACAUGAUUAAAGGUAUUCCGGUAGACGAUGGGGAUGCGUUCCAUUAGAUAGUAGGCGGGGUAACGGCCCACCUAGUCUUCGAUGGAUAGGGGUUCUGAGAGGAAGGUCCCCCACAUUGGAACUGAGACACGGUCCAAACUCCUACGGGAGGCAGCAGUGAGGAAUAUUGGUCAAUGGGCGAGAGCCUGAACCAGCCAAGUAGCGUGAAGGAUGACUGCCCUAUGGGUUGUAAACUUCUUUUAUAAAGGAAUAAAGUCGGGUAUGGAUACCCGUUUGCAUGUACUUUAUGAAUAAGGAUCGGCUAACUCCGUGCCAGCAGCCGCGGUAAUACGGAGGAUCCGAGCGUUAUCCGGAUUUAUUGGGUUUAAAGGGAGCGUAGAUGGAUGUUUAAGUCAGUUGUGAAAGUUUGCGGCUCAACCGUAAAAUUGCAGUUGAUACUGGAUAUCUUGAGUGCAGUUGAGGCAGGCGGAAUUCGUGGUGUAGCGGUGAAAUGCUUAGAUAUCACGAAGAACUCCGAUUGCGAAGGCAGCCUGCUAAGCUGCAACUGACAUUGAGGCUCGAAAGUGUGGGUAUCAAACAGGAUUAGAUACCCUGGUAGUCCACACGGUAAACGAUGAAUACUCGCUGUUUGCGAUAUACUGCAAGCGGCCAAGCGAAAGCGUUAAGUAUUCCACCUGGGGAGUACGCCGGCAACGGUGAAACUCAAAGGAAUUGACGGGGGCCCGCACAAGCGGAGGAACAUGUGGUUUAAUUCGAUGAUACGCGAGGAACCUUACCCGGGCUUAAAUUGCAGAUGAAUUACGGUGAAAGCCGUAAGCCGCAAGGCAUCUGUGAAGGUGCUGCAUGGUUGUCGUCAGCUCGUGCCGUGAGGUGUCGGCUUAAGUGUCAUAACGAGCGCAACCCUUGUUGUCAGUUACUAACAGGUUCCGCUGAGGACUCUGACAAGACUGCCAUCGUAAGAUGUGAGGAAGGUGGGGAUGACGUCAAAUCAGCACGGCCCUUACGUCCGGGGCUACACACGUGUUACAAUGGGGGGUACAGAGGGCCGCUACCACGCGAGUGGAUGCCAAUCCCCAAAACCUCUCUCAGUUCGGACUGGAGUCUGCAACCCGACUCCACGAAGCUGGAUUCGCUAGUAAUCGCGCAUCAGCCACGGCGCGGUGAAUACGUUCCCGGGCCUUGUACACACCGCCCGUCAAGCCAUGGGAGCCGGGGGUACCUGAAGUGCGUAACCGCGAGGAGCGCCCUAGGGUAAAACUGGUGACUGGGGCUAAGUCAUA